GAUGAACGCUGGCGGCGUGCCUAAUACAUGCAAGUCGAGCGAACGGACGAGAAGCUUGCUUCUCUGAUGUUAGCGGCGGACGGGUGAGUAACACGUGGAUAACCUACCUAUAAGACUGGGAUAACUUCGGGAAACCGGAGCUAAUACCGGAUAAUAUUUUGAACCGCAUGGUUCAAAAGUGAAAGACGGUCUUGCUGUCACUUAUAGAUGGAUCCGCGCUGCAUUAGCUAGUUGGUAAGGUAACGGCUUACCAAGGCAACGAUGCAUAGCCGACCUGAGAGGGUGAUCGGCCACACUGGAACUGAGACACGGUCCCGACUCCUACGGGAGGCAGCAGUAGGGAAUCUUCCGCAAUGGGCGAAAGCCGGACGGAGCAACGCCGCGUGAGUGAUGAAGGUCUUCGGAUCGUAAAACUCUGUUAUUAGGGAAGAACAUAUGUGUAAGUAACUGUGCACAUCUUGACGGUACCUAAUCAGAAAGCCACGGCUAACUACGUG
rnacentral:rRNA from 1 species